GAUGAACGCUGGCGGCGUGCCUAAUACAUGCAAGUCGAGCGAACGGACGAGAAGCUUGCUUCUCUGAUGUUAGCGGCGGACGGGUGAGUAACACGUGGAUAACCUACCUAUAAGACUGGGAUAACUUCGGGAAACCGGAGCUAAUACCGGGUAAUAUUUUGAACCGCAUGGUUCAAAAGUGAAAGACGGUCUUGCUGUCACCUAUAGAUGGAUCCGCGCUGCAUUAGCUAGUUGGUAAGGUAACGGCUUACCAAGGCAGCGAUGCAUAGCCGACCUGAGAGGGUGAUCGGCCACACUGGAACUGAGACACGGUCCAGACUCCUACGGGAGGCAGCAGUAGGGAAUCUUCCGCAAUGGGCGAAAGCCUGACGGAGCAACGCCGCGUGAGUGAUGAAGGUCUUCGGAUCGUAAAACUCUGUUAUUAGGGAAGAACAUAUGUGUAAGUAACUGUGCACAUCUUGACGGUACCUAAUCAGAAAGCCACGGCUAACUACGUG
rnacentral:rRNA from 1 species